rnacentral:misc_RNA from 1 species
GAUGAAGAACGUAGCGAAAUGCGAUACGUAAUGUGAAUUGCAGAAUUCAGUGAAUCAUCGAAUCUUUGAACGCAUAUUGCGCUCUUUGGUAUUCCGAAGAGCAUGCUUGUUUGAGUAUCAGUAAACACCUCAACCUCUUCUUGAUUUUUCAAAAGGAGGGUGGACUUGAGCUAUCCCAACAACCUUUACCGGUCGGCGGGUCACUUGAAAUGCAGGUGCAGCUGGACUUUUCUCUGAGCUAUAAGCAUAUCUAUUUAGUCUGCCUAAAAAACAGAUUAUUACCUUUGCUGCAGCUAACAUAAAGGAGAUGAGUUCUUGUGCUGACUGAUGCAGGAUUCACAGAGACAGCUUUGCGGCUGACUUUGUAAACUCGAUCUCAAAUCAAGUAAGACUACCCGCUGAACUUAAGCAUAUCAAUAAGCGGAGGA